UACGAAGGGGGCUAGCGUUGCUCGGAAUCACUGGGCGUAAAGGGCGCGUAGGCGGCGUUUUAAGUCGGGGGUGAAAGCCUGUGGCUCAACCACAGAAUGGCCUUCGAUACUGGGACGCUUGAGUAUGGUAGAGGUUGGUGGAACUGCGAGUGUAGAGGUGAAAUUCGUAGAUAUUCGCAAGAACACCAGUGGCGAAGGCGGCCCGCUGGGCAGUGGCUGACGCUGAGGCGCGACAGCGUGGGGAGCAAACAGG
rnacentral:rRNA from 1 species